rnacentral:rRNA from 1 species
UAGUACGGCGAGUAAGCGGAAAGAGCUCAAGCUUAAAAUCUCCGUGCAAGUUUUGUGCGGCGAAUUGUAGUCUAUAGAAGCGUGGUCAGCAUGGGCACUUGGGGCAAGUUCCUUGGAAGAGGACAGCAUGGAGGGUGAUACUCCCGUUCAUUUCUGAGUUGCUCGUGCGUACGACCCGUUUUCUUUGAGUCGCGUUGUUUGGGAAUGCAGCGCAAAGUAGGUGGUAAAUUCCAUCUAAAGCUAAAUAUUGGUGCGAGACCGAUAGCGAACAAGUACCGUGAGGGAAAGAUGAAAAGAACUUUGAAAAGAGAGUUAAAGAGUACCUGAAACUGCUGAAAGGGAACCGAAUCGUUUCCAGUGUCUAUAAUCCGUGGUAUAUUUCAUUGGCGAGUGUGUGCGUGCGUGUGCUGUGGCAGCGGCUUUUUUGGCUGCGCUCGGCGUGUGUGCUGUGUGUGCUUGCUGGUGCUCUGUGCUGCGGUGGGACGUCAAGGUCAGUUCGUAUGCUGCGGGAAAUGGCUGCCGAGGAGGUAGGGCUUACGCUUGCGUUUGUCUGUUAUAUCUUGGUGGACGAGUAGUCGCGGUUGGGACUGAGGUGCCUACAACGUGCUUUUGAGUGGGUUUGUGUCUCCGUGUGCGCCGUGUGCGGAUAGCUUGCUAUGCGUGUGUGGUUGUGUGUGGAUUGAUG